AGUAAACUUAAUUUCUAAUUAAAUUUGAAACUCUUUUUUUUUCCAUGAAGAAUUUUCUUUAAUUAAUCAAUGAAAGAAAAUAAAUCGUACCGAUUAACUGAAGUUUCGUUGUCAAGAGAUUGACAAUUUUUUUGUUUCAUUUUGUUUUCUUCCUCCAUUGGGUUAACAUUAACAUUUGUUUGUCUCUUGUUUAUUAACCAAAAAUUAGCGGACAAGUUGAUCAUCGUAAUCAAAGUUGACCAUUACUCUACCAGAUCAACAGUACAAUUAUUUGAGUGAACAAGCAAACUGACCCAAAGGUUAAUCAAAUCGUAUCCAUUAUUAUCUCUUCCCUAUUCACACAACAUUUACAGUGAAUUUAGUUUAAUUUAUUGUGUUAAUAUCACAGAGAUUAAACCAACACCCAUGUACAUGGUUUGUGUAUAUAAUUUACACGUAACAACUGAAUCUCAGGAUGAAAAUCUAGUUUCAUGUGAGUAAUAAAAUUAAAGAAAAAUGGAUUACAAUUAAAUUAACGACCAAGAACAAGCGAAAGCCAAACAGUAUGGAAAAAGGUUAUGGUCAAAGUCAAAAGCAUUCAUCUUAUUCCCUGGAAUCAUCUUUACCCAUUAUUAUCAUAAUCAUCAUCAUUAUCAUCUUACAUCUUCUUCUUGUCCUCCCCUCAAUAUUUGAAUUGGUCAUAGUGUCCAUCUUUUUGUGUCUUUACCUGAUCACCCAAUUGUCUUCAUUUAAUAUAUUUUCUUUUCUCUCUUCUUCUAAAUUGUCACCGUUAAUCAAUUUGGAAUAAAACGAAUUACGGGUAAUUCUCCAUGUAUUGUAAUAGUAACAUUGAUACACCACAUUAAAAAAAGGAAAAGUUGUUUCUUUAUGAUGGAAUUUCAACUCUCAGUCUAAAAACCAACAGAUCAUCAACCUGGAGGAAAAGAAACUCAUCAUGAAAAGGAAAAAGAUACAUUUGAUCUUCUACUAAAAGUACUUAUCAUGUGCUCCAGAUUCAGAUGAUUAGCGUGAUAAACAUGGUCGAAAGGGACUCACCAAUUUGCCUCUUCCACCCAUGAGAAUAGUAAAAGAAAUUAGGACAAUGAAGAUACUCUUUUGUUGAUUGUUUUCAUUGUUGUAAAAAAAACACACUGUAAACAUAUUGUACUUCAAUUCUUACACAUUGUAAUUAACCAUCAACAAUGAAGGUAACAAAGAGUAAGUAUAUCUCACAAUGAUUUACUCUCUCACCUUGAAUUUUUCAUCUCUCUGUUUAUCCUCCCAACCACAUCUCAAUUUAUUUCCAAAAAUCCAAUUCUAUCUCCAUCAAAAUCACCUUAGUGUGUCAAGAAUUUAUUACCCCUGAGGGAAACUGAUCUGGAAACUCUCUGAUACAUAUAUAUGGAACCAUCUUCCUGAUAAAAAUGUUUUAUUUUCUAUCAUCAUGGGAAGGAAACGGAAUAUCCAUGUUAGAACAAUAAUCCAGUUUAUGAUUCUUUCCAUUUACUUCCUUCCUGUGUUUUUUUCCUUCUCCAUCUCUUCCACCUCAAUUUGGAACAUGAAAUUUUCCACCUUCUAACGAUUUCAUGUAACUAAUUUUCAACCUUAACUCUAAAUCUUCAAUAACUUGGAUUGUUUCAACGUUCCUUUGUCAACAUGUUUUCCUAUCUUUUCACAUUAAUUUUUUUCUCCAUAAUAUUAUCUCUCAAUUAUAAUGAUAAAACGAGAGACCAUGAGAGAGAUAUAAGAAGAAUAAGGAAAAGAAACAACCCAAUUCUGGUGAAGAACUUGUUCAGUUGAAAUAACAAUUCUCCUUCCAUGCAUUUGGAUUUUUUUUCUCAGUGAUUACACUCAACUUUUCCUUUUCUUAUUUGUCUUACCUGUUCAUGCUAUACUUAAUUUCUAUCAAUUUAAUCUCUAAUUCUUUCUCUACUUAGAAGAUGAUGAUACUGACCAGAAAAGAAACUAAUCAGUCCACAACAAAUAAUCGGAUAACUGAUCCCAUAUACAGAAAAUUUUACCCAUGGAUAAGUUAUUGUAAACAUGGAACUUGAUUGGAACCUAAAAUAAUGGAGAAAAUUGUAAAAAUUCAUCAACCUAAUCAUGUUAAGAUGAUUUUGAUUAAACUAAAUCAAUAUUUCCACUUUCAUAAGCUGAUGAUUGAAAGAAGGAUGUUCCAAGUGAAUUAAAUUUUCACCCAAAUUCAACCAACACCCAGAUAAUGAAAUUUUGAACUAUCAUCAAGUGUGAUAUUCAUUUGAUUUCAAGACUAACCACAGGGAACACACUGUUUCACAUAAAGUCAAGUAUCAAUUGAUUAAAACAAGUCCUGACAUUACAAUUUUAUCAACAUCAUCAACAUCAUCAUCAUCAUGCUACUUACUAUUAUAACACAAUUAACUGAUUAAUCUACUUUACUGAUUAUGUCGUUUAAUAUGAUGAGGUUUUGCUGGAAAAUUGAGUUUUUAUUUCCCAAAUUUUGGGAAUUAUGGUUUCAAGAAAUAAUUUGGUUUAUCAUCAUCAUGGAUGCUCAGGAUGUUUUCAUGUGUCUUUCAAGUGAAAGAAUUGAUUAAGUUUAAAACUUAACCAAAUAGUAAUACAAUUUUGUUGAUGAGAAUCUAUUCUCUUGGUUAAUUAACUCUUGAUGAUGGAACCAGAAUAUUUAUCCAGCAAUAAUAUUUAAUCUCGUUUACCAAAGUUAACCCAACUGUCAGAAAGUAUUAAAUUGCAAUCGUCUCCCGUUAAUUAACUGUAAACCACUUUAAUAGCUGAUAUAAGAGACCAACAAUCAAAGAUUAUCCAACUGAAUCGUCAUGAUGAAUCAAAGAAAUUCAAUAAUUUCUUAUGAAACAAUUACUAAAAUGGUGUAAUUUUUGAUCGGGUUAAACGAUAUUUUGAUUAAUAUUCAUAUGAUUGGAAAUAAUUUAUUUAAUAUGUGACUAGACUUUGAUAGUUUAUCAUUACUGUUAAUCAAAUUGUGAUAUGUUGUAGUUACCAUUAUCUUAAUCACUAUUACUUAGGAAGAUCAUGACUCUAUCCAACUGAACUUUAUCAUGAAAAUGGUAUUAUUUUUGUCAGAAAAUUGGUAACAACAAAUAUAAACAAUCAAAGUUUAAUAUUAAUGAUUAAUGGGAUACAUUAGUUGAUAACUUUUUUGCAAACAAUACACAAAAAAAAUAACAAUAACUCAUUGAAUUGAUUGUAAACUUUUCCCAUGUAAACAUUAAAACCAAGAAAAAAAAUUACAAUAAACUGAUCAACAAACAAAAUGAAUCAAAAUUUAA